rnacentral:ncRNA from 1 species
GUUCAGCACUAAGUCACUUUGUCUAUAUGGCAAAUGUGAGAUGCAGUGUAUGGAGCGUCAAUAUUCUAGUAUGAGAUAUUAAUGAUUUAAGUCCUUCUUAAAUGAGGCCAUUUACCCAUAGAGGGUGCCAGGCCCGUAUAACGUUAAUGAUUGCUAGAUGAUGUUUCCAAAGAGUCGUGUUGCUUGAUAGUGCAGCACUAAGUGGGUGGUAAACUCCAUCUAAAACUAAAUAUAACCAUGAGACCGAUAGUAAACAAGUACCGUGAGGGAAAGUUGAAAAGAACUCUGAAUAGAGAGUUAAACAGUACGUGAAACUGCUUAGAGGUUAAGCCCGAAAAUUCAUCAUUAAAAUUGUAAUAUUUAAAUAAUAUUAUUAAGAAUAAUGUGCAUUUUUUCCAUAUAAGGACAUUGUAAUCUAUUAGCAUAUCCCAAAUUUAUCAUAAAAUAUAACUUAUAGUUUAUUCCAAUUAAAUUGCUUGCAUUUUAACACAGAAUAAAUGUUAUUAAUUUGAUAAAGUGCUGAUAGAUUUAUAUUAUUACAGAGCGUUAAUUUUUCGGAAUUAUAUAAUGGCAUAAUUAUCAUUGAUUUUUGUGUUUAUUAUAUGCUCUUGUAUGAUUAACAAUGCGAAAGAUUCAGGAUACCUUCGGGACCCGUCUUGAAACACGGACCAAGGAGUCUAACAUAUGUGCAAGUUAUUGGGAUGUAAACCUAAUAGCGUAAUUAACUUGACUAAUAAUGGGAUUAGUUUUUUAGCUAUUUAUAGCUAAUUAACACAAUCCCGGGGCGUUCUAUAUAGUUAUGUAUAAUGUAUAUUUAUAUUAUUUAUGCCUCUAACUGGAACGUACCUUGAGCAUAUAUGCUGUGACCCGAAAGAUGGUGAACUAUACUUGAUCAGGUUGAAGUCAGGGGAAACCCUGAUGGAAGACCGAAACAGUUCUGACGUGCAAAUCGAUUGUCAGAAUUGAGUAUAGGGGCGAAAGACCAAUCGAACCAUCUAGUAGCUGGUUCCUUCCGAAGUUUCCCUCAGGAUAGCUGGUGCAUUUUAAUAUUAUAUAAAAUAAUCUUAUCUGGUAAAGCGAAUGAUUAGAGGCCUUAGGGUCGAAACGAUCUUAACCUAUUCUCAAACUUUAAAUGGGUAAGAAUCUUAACUGUGCUUGAUGAUCGAAGUUCAAGGUUAUGAUAAUAAUGUGCCCAGUGGG